GCAACUUGCUCUGCACCGAGUGCCGGGGCAGCAAACAGGAGGCGAUAUUGCUGGGCAAGUGCCACGCUCCAGACACCUCCCUCAGCAUCCAGCACCCCUGGCGAGCACGUUUGCAGGAAUUGGAGGCUAAGGCAGAAGUGGACUGACUUAAGCUCCAACUCAGAAGAAUAAAGGAACAACUGGAACUAUAUCUUCCUGAAAAGCCAACAGAGAUGAGGACAGAAUCUAUCCAGUUUGUAACAAUGUUGGGAAGUACUCCCGAAACUGCAGUUUAAGGUUUUCCAGGUGGCUGAUGAUAAUGGGUUGCAAGUCAUGCUUUGGCAAGGCAUUUUCAUCCAAAGAGUCAUCCAGUUAAAUAAAAAACUUCAAAACUGGCACUGGCUACAUGAGCAUACC